GUCGUGAACGCCUUUCUUGUCGUUGAUUGGUGCGCUGAGUGCAUGCCUCCGCCUAUAAUUUGUUUUUGUAGAACACUAUUUGACUGUGGUAGCUGUCAAUCAAUUGUUAACUCAAGCCGCUGUUCAAAGGACUGAAAUCGAUUGAAGAGUCAGAGCGCAGGAAGGUCUCAUUGUACGGCAGCGAGGAUGAUUAGAGAGAAUGUAAAUUUAUCCUUCAGGUGUAUAGUUGAAGAAUAGUAGACUGUUACAGUGAUGGAUGUGAGAGAUGCUGCAGGAAGGUGGGAUGCUCUGGGCAGUCGAGACUUGAGCUCUAGACAGGCAGCGAUGGAACUCAUUCACCAAGAGGUGAUGAAGAGAAUAGAGACCAUGGGGUCGAUCCCAGACCCGCAGUCCUCCUCUCCCCCAGCCAUGGAUGACAGUCUGUGCAGUGAUCUCAACACUCUGCUGGCUCAUGUCCUGAUUCUCUCCAAACGCUGUCCUUAUGAAGAUGUCAGGGAGAAAUGCAUAUGUUUGCUCCAGAAAGUUCAGACCGCGCCUCUUUCAGGAAGACAGAUGCAAGACUGAGCUGCUCCAAUCAGCCCGGUUCUCAGAAUUCCCAAGCUGAAUCCAAGUACUAGACUGAGAGAGGAACAUGAGAAGUUGAGUGGGACAAAUGACCCAGUGACAGAGGAUAUAAGGAUGAAAGAGCGAGAAGAAAGGUGAAUUGGAUAAUGGAGAAAAGUAGUGUUGAAUGGUUAUAUGUUUAGUGCCUGAGCACAGUCUACAGCAGGGGUGUCAAACUCAGUUCCUGGAAGGCCGCAGCCCUGCAGAGUUAAGUUCCAACCCUGCUCCGACACACAAAGCAUCUAGUUUUCAAAUAAGCCUGAAGGACAUGAUUAGCUGAAUCGGGUGUGUUUAAUUAGGGUUGGAGCUAAACUCUGCAGGGCUGUGGCCCUCCAGGAACUGAGUUUAACACCCCUGGUCUACAGUCAUUGAUCUCUCAUUGUAAUUAAAGUUAAUUGGCCUCAGCUAGACAAAGACACUUGCUCAGAAGAUAUAUAAAAAAGGUUCGAAAUUAAGUAAAUAAAGUGGCGCUAAUUGUUGGUUUUUGAUAACUUUACAACGAACUGCAAUAUAUUAAGUCAACUAUAAAAAUGAGAGUUUGACACUUGUUGAUUUAACCAAUGCAAGUAAUUCAAAUCAAUGUCUUAGUAAAACUUCUGUUCUGCAUCUUCUAAAGACCUUUACGUCAGUGGAAAAUAAUGUGGAAUAUUCUUUCAUUAACCAAAGUCAUAUAUAUUAUGAACAUGAUGUGUCUUUUUUAUGUUUUUAUGACAGGUGCUGUUUUACAGUUUUACAGACAGACAGCUUGUUUAUGAUGUUUUUGAUGUUGACACAGUAA